UGCAGACGGCCAUUCUUCCUCACCUACUCGCUCUUUUUCGUCUUCUUUACCGACGUUGCUGUGGUUGUUUGUGGACUGUUUGCCGUCCAUUCCCGGUUCUGCUGAAAAAAAGAGGUCAUGCUAUCUGAAGGCACAGCACGGUGCUUCGCGUGAGGCUCUGUGAUGCUGAAGGCUGCGUCGUGUCCCGCGGCGCGAAGGAAGGUUAAGCGGGAGGGACUGGGAACAUGCCAGUCCUUUGCGAUAAGAAAUAACACGAGGAACACAUGAAUCAUCAAUCCUGCUGAGCUGUGGCUGGCAAGAUGAUCGGAU